AGCGAACGCUGGCGGCAGGCUUAACACAUGCAAGUCGAGCGGGCACUUUCGGGUGUCAGCGGCGGACGGGUGAGUAACGCGUGGGAACGUGCCCUCUGGUUCGGAAUAACUCAGGGAAACUUGAGCUAAUACCGGAUACGCCCUUUUGGGGAAAGGCUUGCUGCCGGAGGAUCGGCCCGCGUCUGAUUAGCUAGUUGGUGAGGUAACGGCUCACCAAGGCGACGAUCAGUAGCUGGUCUGAGAGGAUGAUCAGCCACACUGGGACUGAGACACGGCCCAGAAUCCUACGGGAGGCAGCAGUGGGGAAUAUUGGACAAUGGGCGCAAGCCUGAUCCAGCCCUGCCGGGGGAGUGAUGAAGGCCUUAGGGUUGUAAAGCUCUUUUAUCCGGGACGAUAAUGACGGUACCGGAGGAAUAAGCCCCGGCUAACUUCGUG
rnacentral:rRNA from 1 species